GACGAACGCUGGCGGCGUGCUUAACACAUGCAAGUCGAACGGUAAGGCCCUUCGGGUACGACGAGUGGCGAACGGGUGAGUAACACGUGGGUGAUCUGCCCUGCACUUCGGGAUAAGCUUGGGAAACUGGGUCUAAUACCGGAUAGGACCACGGUCUGCAUGGAUUGUGGUGGAAAGCUUUUGCGGUGUGGGAUGGGCCCGCGGCCUAUCAGCUUGUUGGUGGGGUAAUGGCCUUACCAAGGCGACGACGGGUAGCCGGCCUGAGAGGGCGACCCGGCCACACUGGGACUGAGACACGGCCCAGACUCCUACGGGAGGCAGCAGUGGGGAAUAUUGCGCAAUGGGCGAAAGCCUGACGCAGCGACGCCGCGUGAGGGACGAAGGUCUUCGGAUUGUAAACCUCUUUCAGCAGGGACGAAGCGAAAGUGACUGUACCUGCAGAAG
rnacentral:rRNA from 1 species